rnacentral:ncRNA from 1 species
AGAAAAUCGUAGAAAAAGAGAGUAGCUGGUUGUAAAGCAAUAGCGAAUUAGGGAUGGUGGAAGCCUAAUGUGGAGCAAGCAGUGAAACGCACUUUGGAGAUAUCAUGCUGAAAAGGAGUAGGCAUGAUCGGUAACAGGCCGUUAACUGAUUUAAGUGGUUAUGAAAAUAACAAUUAGAGUGGUACCGCGGGAAUUAUAUGCUCUCGCCUCUUCG